rnacentral:rRNA from 1 species
UGGGGAAUAUUGGACAAUGGGGGCAACCCUGAUCCAGCCAUGCCGCGUGUGUGAAGAAGGCCUUCGGGUUGUAAAGCACUUUCAGUGGGGAGAAAAGUGAUUCACUUAAUACGUGAGUUAAUUGAUGUUACCCACAGAAGAAGCACCGGCUAACUCCGUGCCAGCAGCCGCGGUAAUACGGAGGGUGCAAGCGUUAAUCGGAAUUACUGGGCGUAAAGCGCACGUAGGCGGUUCGUUAAGCCAGCUGUGAAAUCCCCGGGCUCAACCUGGGAAUUGCAGUUGGAACUGGCGAGCUAGAGUAUGGUAGAGGGGUGUGGAAUUUCAGGUGUAGCGGUGAAAUGCGUAGAUAUCUGAAGGAACACCAGUGGCGAAGGCGACACCCUGGACCAAUACUGACGCUGAGGUGCGAAAGCGUGGGGAGCAAACAGG